AUGCCUCAGAAGAUCAGAGCAAAGAUGAAAGGAUGUCUGAAGAUAUAUGUUCUUGGGAGCAGAUGCCAGCUUGCAUUUUCGCUUCAUUCCUCUGAGCACCAUGCUAGAUUCAGAUCUCUCAGAAUAAAGGACUGGAAUCGCAGCUUUAGAGAACACAACAAAUUGGCCAUCUUCGUUGUCUACCCUGGAGAAGACCUUGAGGUUCAUAUGGGCAAAUCUCCUCCUCUGCGAUGGACUCCUGUAAAUCGGGGGAGAGCUGCAGCUGGUCAACGUGUAAAAUGACAUACUGUCCGUAUAGAACGCGAUGUGCAAAGUACCAGUGUAACUUGACAUUCAAGGCACUUUAACACCUGUUUCCAUAGCUACACUGUAAUCCAGACAUUUGAGAGGCAGGCCUGCCUCUGCCAGGCCUGUCAUUUCAGAGAAAUAAAUUAAGAAAGCUGAUGACA
rnacentral:lncRNA from 1 species